AAAUUGAAGAGUUUGAUCAUGGCUCAGAUUGAACGCUGGCGGCAGGCCUAACACAUGCAAGUCGAACGGUAACAGGAAGCAGCUUGCUGCUUUGCUGACGAGUGGCGGACGGGUGAGUAAUGUCUGGGAAACUGCCUGAUGGAGGGGGAUAACUACUGGAAACGGUGGCUAAUACCGCAUAACGUCGCAAGACCAAAGAGGGGGACCUUCGGGCCUCUUGCCAUCAGAUGUGCCCAGAUGGGAUUAGCUUGUUGGUGAGGUAACGGCUCACCAAGGCGACGAUCCCUAGCUGGUCUGAGAGGAUGACCAGCCACACUGGAACUGAGACACGGUCCAGACUCCUACGGGAGGCAGCAGUGGGGAAUAUUGCACAAUGGGCGCAAGCCUGAUGCAGCCAUGCCGCGUGUAUGAAGAAGGCCUUCGGGUUGUAAAGUACUUUCAGCGGGGAGGAAGGUGUUGUGGUUAAUAACCGCAGCAAUUGACGUUACCCGCAGAAGAAGCACCGGCUAACUCCGUGCCAGCAGCCGCGGUAAUACGGAGGGUGCAAGCGUUAAUCGGAAUUACUGGGCGUAAAGCGCACGCAGGCGGUCUGUCAAGUCGGAUGUGAAAUCCCCGGGCUCAACCUGGGAACUGCAUUCGAAACUGGCAGGCUUGAGUCUUGUAGAGGGGGGUAGAAUUCCAGGUGUAGCGGUGAAAUGCGUAGAGAUCUGGAGGAAUACCGGUGGCGAAGGCGGCCCCCUGGACAAAGACUGACGCUCAGGUGCGAAAGCGUGGGGAGCAAACAGGAUUAGAUACCCUGGUAGUCCACGCCGUAAACGAUGUCUACUUGGAGGUUGUGCCCUUGAGGCGUGGCUUCCGGAGCUAACGCGUUAAGUAGACCGCCUGGGGAGUACGGCCGCAAGGUUAAAACUCAAAUGAAUUGACGGGGGCCCGCACAAGCGGUGGAGCAUGUGGUUUAAUUCGAUGCAACGCGAAGAACCUUACCUGGUCUUGACAUCCACGGAACUUU
rnacentral:rRNA from 1 species